GACGAACGCUUGCGGCGUGCUUAACACAUGCAAGUCGAACGGAAAGGCCCUGCUUUUGUGGGGUGCUCGAGUGGCGAACGGGUGAGUAACACGUGAGUAACCUGCCCUUGACUUUGGGAUAACUUCAGGAAACUGGGGCUAAUACCGGAUAGGAGCUCCUGCUGCAUGGUGGGGGUUGGAAAGUUUCGGCGGUUGGGGAUGGACUCGCGGCUUAUCAGCUUGUUGGUGGGGUAGUGGCUUACCAAGGCUUUGACGGGUAGCCGGCCUGAGAGGGUGACCGGCCACAUUGGGACUGAGAUACGGCCCAGACUCCUGCGGGAGGCAGCAGUGGGGAAUAUUGCACAAUGGGCGGAAGCCUGAUGCAGCAACGCCGCGUGCGGGAUGACGGCCUUCGGGUUGUAAACCGCUUUCGCCUGUGACGAAGCGUGAGUGACGGUAAUGGGUAAAGAAGCACCGGCUAACUACGUGCCAGCAGCCGCGGUGAUACGUAGGGUGCGAGCGUUGUCCGGAUUUAUUGGGCGUAAAGGGCUCGUAGGUGGUUGAUCGCGUCGGAAGUGUAAUCUUGGGGCUUAACCCUGAGCGUGCUUUCGAUACGGGUUGACUUGAGGAAGGUAGGGGAGAAUGGAUUUCCUGGUGGAGCGGUGGAAUGCGCAGAUAUCAGGAGGAACACCAGUGGCGAAGGCGGUUCUCUGGGCCUUUCCUGACGCUGAGGAGCGAAAGCGUGGGGAGCGAACAGGCUUAGAUACCCUGGUAGUCCACGCUGUAAACGGUGGGUACUAGGUGUGGGGUCCAUUCCACGGGUUCCGUGCCGUAGCUAACGCUUUAAGUACCCCGCCUGGGGAGUACGGCCGCAAGGCUAAAACUCAAAGGAAUUGACGGGGCCCCGCACAAGCGGCGGAGCAUGCGGAUUAAUUCGAUGCAACGCGUAGAACCUUACCUGGGUUUGACAUGGAUCGGGAGUGCUCAGAGAUGGGUGUGCCUCUUUUGGGGUCGGUUCACAGGUGGUGCAUGCCUGCCGUCAGCUCGUGUCGUGAGAUGUUGGGUUAAGUCCCGCAACGAGCGCAACCCUUGUUCACUGUUGCCAGCACGUUAUGGUGGGGACUCAGUGGAGACCGCCGGGGUCAACUCGGAGGAAGGUGGGGAUGACGUCAAGUCAUCAUGCCCCUUAUGUCCAGGGCUUCACGCAUGCUACAAUGGCUGGUACAGAGAGUGGCGAGCCUGUGAGGGUGAGCGAAUCUCGGAAAGCCGGUCUCGGUUCGGAUUGGGGUCUGCAACUCGACCUCAUGAAGUCGGAGUCGCUAGUAAUCGCAGAUCAGCAACGCUGCGGUGAAUACGUUCCCGGG
rnacentral:rRNA from 1 species